rnacentral:rRNA from 1 species
AGCGAACGCUGGCGGCAGGCCUAACACGUGCAAGUCGAACGAACCCUUCGGGGUUAGUGGCGGACGGGUGAGUAACACGUGGGAACGUGCCUUUAGGUUCGGAAUAACUCAGGGAAACUUGUGCUAAUACCGAAUGUGCCCUUCGGGGGAAAGAUUUAUCGCCUUUAGAGCGGCCCGCGUCUGAUUAGCUAGUUGGUGAGGUAAUGGCUCACCAAGGCUACGAUCAGUAGCUGGUCUGAGAGGAUGACCAGCCACAUUGGGACUGAGACACGGCCCAAACUCCUACGGGAGGCAGCAGUGGGGAAUCUUGCGCAAUGGGCGAAAGCCUGACGCAGCCAUGCCGCGUGGAUGAUGAAGGUCUUAGGAUUGUAAAGUCCUUUCACCGGUGAAGAUAAUGACUGUAGCCGGAGAAGAAGCCCCGGCUAACUUCGUGCCAGCCGCCGCCGUAAUAC